GGGGGGAACUGAAUAUUAAAUUAGAACAGCCAUGGUCAAAACAGAGGGAGGAACUGAAUAUUAAAUUAGAACAGCCGUGGUCAAAACAGAGGGGGGGCUUAAAUUAGAACAGCCAUGGUCAAAACAGAGGGAGGAACUGAAUAUUAAAUUAGAACAGCCGUGGUCAAAACAGAGGGAGGAACUGAAUAUUAAAUUAGAACAGCCAUGGUCAAAACAGAGGGAGGAACUGAAUAUUAAAUUAGAACAGCCAUGGUCAAAACAGAGGGGGGAACUGAAUAUUAAAUUAGAACAGCCGUGGUCAAAACAGAGGGGGCUUAAAUUAGAACAGCCGUGGUCAAAACAGAGGGAGGAACUGAAUAUUAAAUUAGAACAGCCGUGGUCAAAACAGAGGGAGGAACUGAAUAUUAAAUUAGAACAGCCGUGGUCAAAACAGAGGGGGAACUGAAUAUUAAAUUAGAACAGCC
ensembl:lncRNA